rnacentral:rRNA from 1 species
UACGAAGGGGGCUAGCGUUGCUCGGAAUCACUGGGCGUAAAGCGCACGUAGGCGGCUUUCUAAGUCAGGGGUGAAAUCCUGGAGCUCAACUCCAGAACUGCCUUUGAUACUGGGAAGCUCGAGUCCGGAAGAGGUGAGUGGAACUCCGAGUGUAGAGGUGAAAUUCGUAGAUAUUCGGAAGAACACCAGUGGCGAAGGCGGCUCACUGGCUCGAUACUGACGCUGAGGUGCGAAAGCGUGGGGAGCAAACAGG